rnacentral:rRNA from 1 species
UUCUGGUUGAUCCUGCCGGACCUGACUGCUAUCGGAUUGAUACUAAGCCAUGCGAGUCAUUGUAGUAAUACAAGGCAGACGGCUCAGUAACGCGUAGUCAACCUAACCUAUGGACGGGAAUAACCUCGGGAAACUGAGUAUAAUGCCCGAUAGAACAUUAUGCCUGGAAUGGUUUAUGUUCCAAAUGAUUUAUCGCCGUAGGAUGGGACUGCGGCCUAUCAGUUUGUUGGUGAGGUAAUGGCCCACCAAGACUAUUACAGGUACGGGCUCUGAGAGGAGUAGCCCGGAGAUGGGUACUGAGACACGGACCCAGGCCCUAUGGGGCGCAGCAGGCGAGAAAACUUUGCAAUGUGCGAAAGCACGACAAGGUUAAUCCGAGUGGUUUCUGCUAAAGGAACCUUUUGUUAGUCCUAGAAACACUAACGAAUAAGGGGUGGGCAAGUUCUGGUGUCAGCCGCCGCGGUAAAACCAGCACCUCAAGUGGUCAGGAUGAUUAUUGGGCCUAAAGCAUCCGUAGCCGGCUCUAUAAGUUUUCGGUUAAAUCUGUACGCUCAACGUACAGGCUGCCGGGAAUACUGCAGAGCUAGGGAGUGGGAGAGGUAGACGGUACUCGGGAGGAAGGGGUAAAAUCCUUUGAUCUCUCGAUGACCACCUGUGGCGAAGGCGGUCUACCAGAACACGUCCGACGGUGAGGGAUGAAAGCUGGGGGAGCAAACCGGAUUAGAUACCCGGGUAGUCCCAGCUGUAAACUAUGCAAACUCAGUGAUGCAUUGACUUGUGGUCAAUGCAGUGCUGCAGGGAAGCCGUUAAGUUUGCCGCCUGGGAAGUACGUACGCAAGUAUGAAACUUAAAGGAAUUGGCGGGGGAGCACCACAAGGGGUGAAGCCUGCGGUUCAAUUGG